rnacentral:tRNA from 1 species
AGAGACCUGAAUAGGAUUCGGUUUCGACCCGAAACAAAUUUAAUUGACUUUAUUUUCUA